GAACGAACCCCAUUCUCCACCGCUCACAGCCCACUCCCCUAUCCCAUUUUCCCCACUCCCCUCCCCACAUCCCAAUCCUCGCGGUGAGGUCCUGGCCGGCGACCCGGCGACGAGCGCGAGAGGAAGGCGAGGGGACGGCUAGGACAGGUCCUGGCCGGCGACGGACUCGUCGGACCGCUCCUCUGGCGACGGAGCGGAGGACGGGGGGCAACAGAGGUGGCGGGUGGAGCCUGUGCUGUCGAGGGCCCGACGAGUUGAGGUCCUGGCCGGUGACGGACUCGCCCAGUCACUCCCCCGGAGACGGAGCGGGGGACGGGAGGACAACGGGAGGUCGUCAGCGUCCACAUCGUCGUCGUCCGUGACGGCCGCGGCCUCGACGCUUGGGGAUGGGCUCGCCUCCGCUGCGCCGCCCUCCGCACAAGGAGGUCCACAGCGAUGCGACCUGCACGGCGCGCCAUCCCCGGCGACGCGCUCUACGCCCGUUCCUCUUGGCAGGACCGGCGGCCGCGGCGGCUCAGGCAGAAACACCGGGGGCUGGGACGCGUCGGCCUGCGCGACGACGCCAUGAGCUGCCCGGCCUGCGUGUAAGAGUAGCUCACUGGCGACUAGCUCGAUGGGCAGCAGCAGCAGCAGCACGGGCGGCUGUGCUGCACGCACGAGGUUGCCGCGACGGGGAUCUGCAUACUGUCGUCAGGCUCGAUGGGAAGCACCAGCACCGGCAGCAGUGCGUGCUGCGAUCUACGUCGCCUGCGACAGGAGCUGCAUACCGUCGCCGGGAUCGAGGGGAAUCACCAGCACCUAUUUUUCCUCUCUCGUCCGGAGGUAAUCACCGAUGCUCCAUCCAUCCUCCCCUGUUCUCUGUCGCCGUCGCAGCUUGUAAGUUGCUUUGCUGACUUCCGUUGGGAAUCAUUGAUGGUUGUAGAAUCCACGAUGCACAUUUGUACAACCAGGCCGGCGAGCUAUAUCAUACUAGCACCCCAUACAUGCCUGACAAUUAGAUUUUAGGAUUUUUGAUUCAUUUUCCUGAAUGUAUGCAAUCUUCUACACAUAUAUACAUGGCAAUUUUUGGAGGCAUUACCAGACACUUUCUGCACGCCUUUUUCAUGCACUACAUGGCAACUCAGGAAUUUUUCCCCUGAUGUUCUGGUUCUGAAUGUGUGGCAUCUUUUAUACAUAACACACAAGAAUUCUUGUAGUCACUACCUGACACUUUUUGUAUGCUCUCCGAGUGCACUACAUGGCAACUCAGGUUUUCUGCUGUAUUGUUUCUGAAUGUGUGGCAUCUUGCCAUGACAAUUUUUUGAGGCGUCGUUGAAUUGUAAAACAAAAAACGAUGGUUGAGGUCAGAAAUUUUUCAAUGCUCACACCCCGUCCCCGACGUGCUCCACAUGCCCGCAUUGGCAGUAGUGGUUUCCCGGUUAAGGAGCUUUGUGAGUUUCAACUACAAGUGCUGCUAUCUCUCCUACUGUUUUUGUAGAUGCUCUAGCUAUUUACCUUUUGUUGUACAGAUGUGAGUAUAUGUGUAGAUGUGUGAUUUUUUCGUAGUUGCUCUAUCUCGUGGUACUACCGCUACAAUACAUGGCAAAAUCCUGAAAAUUGAUAAUUCUGGUCCAUGGCAAAAUUAAUAGGAAAUGCUCCAAAAGAUGGCAGUUUCUUGUGAAAUGUCAUGGCAAAGUAUGAAAAAUCAUAUGGCAAAAUUCAAAACUUUUGUUUAAUCAAAUAUGACAUCUUUUAGAGCCAAUUGUAUUUGUCACAUGGCAUUUUUAAGAACAAGUUUUGAACAUUGGCAUGGCAAAAUUCAGAAUCAGAUCCUAAUUUGCCAUCUCUUUCGUAAGGAACAAAUCUUCUAAAUUUGCCACGUGGCCAUGGAAAAUUUGCUAAUUUUGCCAUCUCUUUUUUCACAAGAACAAAUAUUUUUACAAACCUUGGCUUUUUACUUGAUGGACCAUGGUGAAUAACUUUUGGAACAUGAUGAAUUAUUUCUAGAACAUGACUAAUUUGUUUCACAAACUAUGGCAAAUUUACUUUAUGUAUCAUGACAACGAAAUAUCAUUGCAAAUUUAUUUAUUUUCACCAUGUCAAAUUUACUUUUCUACCAUGGCAAAUUUGUUGUAGCUACUUUUACACUUUAGUUUGUUCGUACAUACCAUGAGACUUUUUAAUAGUUACCAUGGUAGUUUUACUGUAUGGCUUUUUGAUGUUUCAUAAUGUUUCAUGGCAAAUUUAUUCUACAACCCAUGGCAAUUUUCUUUCAAAUAACACGACAAUUUAAUAUGCAUUUUUUCACCAUGGUUUUUUUAUAUUUCAUAACGUUUAAGAACAUGGCAUUUUUUCUCUUUCUAGCAUGCCAAAACUUUAGUUUCUUGCGAUGGCAAUUUCGAGCUUCAUUUGCCAUCCAAUUUUUUUACUCUUUUUUUUGCCAUGUCAAAAUUCCUUUAUUACGACAUGGCAAAAUUACCCUUUCAGCUUUGCAUUGGCAAAUUUACUCGCACAUACAUGGCAAAUUUACUUCAACAUUCAUGGCAACAAUUUUCCUUUCCAUUGCCAUGCUAGUUUUUACUCUUUUUUUGCCAUGUGAAAUUUACCUUUUUUUUUGUCAUGGCAAAAUUUACCUUUUACUUGCCAUGCCAAAAUAAAGGAGUAUUCAUGGAGCAUGGCAAAUUUUACCUAUAAAUACUUGAAAAUUUUCUAUUACAUGCUAUGUGGCAAUUUUUACUCUUUUUUGCCAUGUCAAAACUUUACUUUCUUUGUCAUGGCAAUUUUUUAACCUUAAUUGCCAUGGCAACUUUACUUGUAAAUACAUGGCAAUUUUACUUUAACAUAGAUGGCAAUUUUUUGCCAUGGCAAAUUUAACCUUUUUUAUUGCGAUGGCAAUUUACAUUAAACAUACAUGGCAAAUUCACUUUUUCUCGCUCAUGGCAUUUUUACUUCUAUGGAGCAUGGCAAGUUUGACUUUUUUUUCUGCCACUACUAUUAAACAAAAGAUGUUGCAUUUUUGUUUCUGCUCCACAUGAUGGCAAUGUUUAAUCCACAUUUUUAGAUCUUCAUUUAUAUAGUAAAAAUAGCAUACACUUUUACAAUCCAUAUUUCUUGCCAUCAUGAUGUAGAUGCAAAAUUGCCAUGAACUUUUUCUUUUUCGCCAUUGCAUAAAAAAAAUCUUUUUUUACCAUGGCAAUGUUUUUGCUUAUAAAGAUGAUUGCAUAUUUAGUAGAAUGUUUUCAUUUUUUAUCUAGCACGACAAAUUUAUUUUUAGAUCUUUUCAAUUUCUUUUCAGAGUAUGGCAAAAUAUGGCCUUUUUAUUCACAACCAAAAGCGGCCUUUCUUAGUCACAGUAGGUCUUAGGAAAACUGGGCUUUAUUUCUCUUUCAAACGCGAAAAAGGCCUGGGGCGAUGGUGUUCGGGCUGGGUUCUUCUCGUCCCGAACGACAUCGUUCGGUCGUUUGCCUCCCCUGUCACGAACGAGUUGUUCGGUCUGGGGCUCUCCCAGACCGAACAGUCGGGAGUUAUCGGGGUCCUUUUCAUUUGCAGAUUAAUCGGCAGCUUCAGACUCGGACACAGCUUGUGAUCCCGGUUCCUUUCAAUUUUUUUGGAAAAGAAGGUUAAACCCUCAGCCUCUGCAUCAAUCGAUGCAUGUAGCCAUCUUUAUUAAUUACUAGGAAAAUGGCCCGUGCGUUGCAACGGGAAUACAAUCAUCCCCUGAUUGAUAACUUUUUUGCCUUACCAGGGAUCUAUCCUAGCCCCGCAAUGAAGCCUGACUAUCACCACGAUGAUAGGGCAUGACAGUCUGUCUCGAGAAGGUCCUCGGAAUCGGAUAGACCUAAUGCGACCAUGGCCUCCUACUACACAUCUGCCCAACACGUGAGCGUGCGGUGGCAUGAGGCAGGUUUCCUUGCCAAGGCCCAGCUGCAUGAGCAUCUGAUCUAGGGCAUCCGCCCUUGCAGUGUUAGUCGAGGUCGGCGGCCGGCGUCAUUGCGUGUGCGUUGCUAUCGGAAAAAAAUGUGUCUAAAGUUUUUAUCUUGCAGACUAUAUCUAAAGGGGAGAUUCAAAAGAGAACGAUGUGGCUCACGUACCCAGGUCAUUGUAUCUGAAGUUUCUAUUUAUUCAGGAUGGCGUAGGAACACAUUCAAUAACGAAGUAUAAUCUAAUUAGUAGCAAGGCACUCGGUAUCAUCAGUUUGUGUUUUUCUCCAAGUAGCAUAGAAACACAUCCCAUAACCAUAAUAUAAUACUGGACGGAGGGAGUAUGUGGUAAUAGGCAAUUAGUUUGGUUACUAUCAAUUCUCUAUGUUGUUCUUACCUUAUACAACAUGAACAUUUUUUAC
rnacentral:rRNA from 1 species